UUAUAAUAUGUUAUAGGUUACAAUAAUGUUACUUGUUACAGACCCAUCUUUGAAAGAAGUGGUCCCUGCAUCGAGUCAUAGCAAGAACAAGUCACCGAAUAUAAAGAAUAAAUUAAAGAGGAAGAAACAGCGAAAGAAUAAGAAGAGGAUGAAAUUCUACAAACAGAAGAAAACGCAGUUUUGGAGGUGAUCCGAGCGGACUGAAUCAAAUUCUCGGAAUUAAUAAAGUUUUACAUAUUUGUAAAGUAAUAAAUAAGAUAUUGGUUAUUGUAAAAUUUAAUUGUGACGCAAUGUACAUCAUAAUGUUGUAAUAUCUAUGAGUAAAGACAAUAAAAUGUACUAUAG